UACCGGCUCUCCGAGUGGUAGGGAUGAUUAUUGGGCUUAAAGCGUCCGUAGCCGGCUUAGCAAGUCUCCUGUUAAAUUCAGCGACCUAAUCGUUGAGCCGCGGGAGAUACUACUAGGCUAGGAGGCGGGAGAGGUCAACGGUACUUCCGGGGUAGGGGUGAAAUCCUAUAAUCCCGGGAGGACCACCAGUGGCGAAGGCUGUUGACGAGAACGCGCUCGACGGUGAGGGACGAAAGCUGGGGGAGCGAACCGGAUUAGAUACCCGGGUAGUCCCAGCUGUAAACGAUGCGAGCUAGGUGUUGGGGUGGCUACGUGCCACUUCAGUGCCGCAGGGAAGCCAUUAAGCUCGCCGCCUGGGGAGUACGGCCGCAAGGCUGAAACUUAAAGGAAUUGGCGGGGGAGCGACCACAAGGCGUGAAGCUUGCGGUUC
rnacentral:rRNA from 1 species